CAGCCGUAAACUAUGCGCGUUAGGUGUAUCGGUGACCACGAGUUACCGAGGUGCCGAAGGGAAACCGUGAAACGUGCCGCCUGGGAAGUACGGUCGCAAGGCUGAAACUUAAAGGAAUUGGCGGGGGAGCACCGCAACAGGUGGAGCCUGCGGUUUAAUUGGACUCAACGCCGGGAAGCUCACCGGAUAGGACAGCAGAAUGAUUGCCGGGCUGAAGACCCUGCAUGACUAGCUGAGAGGAGGUGCAUGGCGUCAGUGACU
rnacentral:rRNA from 1 species